GACGAACGCUGGCGGCGUGCUUAACACAUGCAAGUCGAACGGAAAGGCCCUGCUUUUGUGGGGUGCUCGAGUGGCGAACGGGUGAGUAACACGUGAGUAACCUGCCCUUGACUUUGGGAUAAAUUCAGGAAACUGGGGCUAAUACCGGAUAGGAGCUCCUGAUGCAUGGUGGGGGAUGGAAAGUUUCGGCGGUUGGGGAUGGGCUCGCGGCUUAUCAGCUGCUUGGUGGGGUAGGUGCUUACCAAGGCUUUGACGGGUAGCCGGCCUGAGAGGGUGACCGGCCACAUUGGGACUGAGGUACGGCGCAGACGCGUACGGGCGGCAGCAGGGGGGAGUAUUGCACAAUGGGCCGAAGCCUGAUGCAGCAACGCCGCGUGCGGGAUGACGGCCUUCGGGUUGUAAACCGCUGUCGCCUGUGACGAAGCGUGAGUGACGGUAAUGGGUAAAGAAGCACCGGCUAACUACGUG
rnacentral:rRNA from 1 species